GAUGAACGCUGGCGGCGUGCUUAACACAUGCAAGUCGAACGAGAAGUGAAGACGGAAACCUUCGGGCGGAAGGCUUUAUUUCGAGUGGCGGACGGGUGAGUAACGCGUGGGUAACCUGCCUCAUACAGGGGGAUAACAGUUGGAAACGACUGUUAAUACCGCAUAAGACCACAGCACCGCAUGGUGCGGGGGUAAAAACUCCGGUGGUAUGAGAUGGACCCGCGUUCGAUUAGCCAGUUGGCGGGGUAACGGCCCACCAAAGCGACGAUCGAUAGCCGAUCUGAGAGGAUGACCGGCCACAUUGGGACUGAGGCACGGCCCAAACUCCUACGGGAGGCAGCAGUGGGGAAUAUUGCACAAUGGGGGAAACCCUGAUGCAGCGACGCCGCGUGAGUGAAGAAGUAUUUCGGUAUGUAAAGCUCUAUCAGCAGGGAAGAAAAUGACGGUACCUGAGUAAGAAGCCCCGGCUAACUACGUG
rnacentral:rRNA from 1 species